UUGAGCCGUAUGCGGGGGAACUCGCACGUGCGGUUCUUAGGGGGGAGAGCUAGUAGGAACCAUCCUAUCCCAAU
rfam:Cajanus cajan Scaffold128325_1, whole genome shotgun sequence.